CCCCCACCUGGAGAACAUGAAAGCACCCCACCCCAGAAUUCUGGGUGGAACACACACACACACAGCAAAGGCCAGAAGCCCAGAAGGAGACAGAGCUGGGGUUAGGGUGCUUCCCUUGGCAGAUAACAGCAGAUUAAGGCACUCCACGGUCCCAUAAAUAAAGCUGAAGCUCCAGCAUGCAAUGAAUGGCCCCCGAGUCCUACCUGCCUUUGUGGCAGCCACUUCUAAUAAACAGAUGGCCCAAACGUCACUGCCCUGACCUCAUCCCCACAAUAAAGUAGACUAGUAAGAGUACACUUGGAACUGAUGUACAAAAACAGCACGAAAGAGCUACUGAGGACCACCAUCACUAAGAUGUACAAACUGUCGCCCUGGGCUCGAAUUCCCAACCCCCAGAACCCAGCACCUCCUCCCCUCAACCCCAGUUUCCAGAAGAACUCACGUCUCUGGUUUUCGGAUCAAACCAGUGGCUGAUAUCUUGGCCUGCCACUUCCACGAUGGGUUUCAGCAGCAAGUCUCCUGGGAAGGAGCAGCCGCCGUCAGUGCUAGCCAUCUAAGAAUCACACACCCCCGACGCUGGCCCAAAUUGUGGCCCUUACCCUUGUACUCCUGUGCCAACGGGGUUAGGUUGUACACGUUUCCCAGGAUUCAGACGGGGAGCGCGAGGAGGACUCGCCGGCUGCGCGCGCUAGGCAGCAGCUGGAGGCGCUGCUUAACAAGACUAUGCGCAUUCGCAUGACAGAUGGACGGACCCUGGUCGGUUGCUUCCUCUGCACCGACCGUGACUGCAACGUUAUCCUGGGCUCGGCGCAGGAGUUCCUCAAGCCGUCGGAUUCCUUCUCUGCCGGGGAACCCCGUGUCUUGGGUCUGGCCAUGGUACCUGGACACCACAUCGUUUCUAUUGAGGUGCAAAGAGAGAGCCUGGCGGGGCCUCCCUAUCUCUGAGCCCUGUCGCACAUGCCUUUCAGUCCUCAUUAAACCUGUAACUGACUGU